UACAUUUUAUAAGCUGAAAUAAAGUUGUUUGAUGGACAGAGUGAGUUAAUUUACAGCACAAAUAUUUGAUCACUAUAAACAAAUCAUCUGUGCAGGUUGUUCAACAAGAAAUUACAGAAACCACA